rnacentral:rRNA from 1 species
UACAGAGGGUGCAAACGUUGCUCGGAAUCAUUGGGCGUAAAGCGCACGUAGGCGGUCCAGCAAGUCGGGUGUGAAAGCCCUCGGCUUAACCGAGGAAGUGCAUUCGAAACUACUGGACUUGAAUACUGGAGAGGAUCGCGGAAUUCCCGGUGUAGAGGUGAAAUUCGUAGAUAUCGGGAGGAACACCAGUGGCGAAGGCGGCGAUCUGGACAGAUAUUGACGCUGAGGUGCGAAAGCGUGGGGAGCAAACAGG